UGUGCUAGGGGUGGGGGUGGGCCAGGAAGCCAUAGGGCUGCAGGUGAAGGGCAGUGGGCUCAGGUAAUCAGGGAUGGCUCCCCUCUAGAGAAGGUGUGGUGGGCAGGAUAAGUGGAGGGCCUGAAGAGCAUCUCUGCCUGGGGAAAGGGGAUGUGGUCCAAGGAAGAGACCUCCAGGCGGCAGUUGGAGGCACAGAUGCCUCCUAACUCUGCCUGCCUCUGGGCAUGGAGCUGUGUGGAGUGGGCACGAAAAGGCUCUGUUCUGAAUCACUGUCCACUCAGGGGCAAGGUCUGGAGGCUGUCCCGAGUAGAGGUUGAAGUUAUGUGUGUGUGUAUCGGGGUCGGGGUGGGGGGUUAGGUGGACUCGGUCCACUGCAGGAGCACUAACAGCUAACUUGGUCUCUCCGUCUCGGAUUCUCUGGCCCCUCUCAUUCAUUUUCAUCAGAUGAGAAACGGUGUUCUCUUUACGGAGGGGGCUGAUGCUGAUGGCCUUGGGCAGCAUGCAGGUUCAAGCCUGGCCUCCUACUGGGGCUGUGUACACGUCUGACCUUGGAGCUCUCUGGCCAGGUCACAGGGUUAUACCCUGGCCUACCAACCCCAAAGCACUUUUCUCUCCCCAAAAGACAUGGACUCAGAAUUUUUGAGCCCCUCUGGCCCAAUGCUCUUGUUUCUGAUGAGGCCUCGUGAAGGGAAGUGACCACUAAGGCUACGUGGCUGCUGAGUCAGCGAGUCAACUGCCAAUUAUCCCACUCCCCUGCCACCCGCAGCCCACCUCCUUCCUUCCCAACCUCACACUUGCUGGCACAGUCUGCUGAGGGUUGGGUAGGCAAUUCAGAGAGAAGAGAGGGAGGUGUGAGCCAGCAGGAGCCCUGCUAGGGACUCAAAUUUUCUAGGGCAGCCUGCCUCCAGCUAACCCACCCUACCCCUCAAGGAAUGCUCCUCUGUAACUGGGACCAGCCUGGAGCUUUCCCCAAGUGAAGAGGAGGGAGCAGGCUGGUCCCUCAGGAAGCCCCCCUCCUCCCCAAAUGUCAGAGCUCCUCCCCUGCAGAAAGAGGGAGGGAGUUGGAUGGGUGUAGCCUCUUAAUCAGCAUGGGGGCCAUGUCCCUCCUGGACAGCGGUGGGGUGAGGGCAGGGUGGGGGCAGCAUGAGCUGCAGGGACAGAUUGUUCUGAACUUACUGUUCCCCCCACACCUCCCCAACACACACACUUCCCGGACUGCAGGAAAGGCCUUACAGAAGCAUCACCUCCAGGCAGCUUCUCUUUGCCAAGGGCUUCCAUCUGUUUGUAACAGUUAAAGUCACAAGUGUCAAAAUAAGUGCACGCCCCAGUAUAACCUCAUUCAGAGCCCUGGCUUCCAGGUGGAGUCUGCCACAUGCAACCUCCAACUGAUUUCUUCAAGUCUCUGCUUCCUCACAGUCUUUGUACAGGCUUAAUCAUGCAGCUGAGGAAAUGUUUUUCUCUGAAGCUAAAUACAGAAUGAAAAAAGUACAUCAUGCUAAAAAAGGAGAAGGAAGGAUAUCAAAAUCCUUUGUGUAAGAUGUCCUCAAGAGAACUUUCCCUUAACUGCAGACUGAUGCUCCAGUACCAAGCGAAAGCCCCUUGCCGUCACUUGUUUACUUGGACUCCUGGAAAUUGGCUAAGAUGACACUGAAUUCAAGCCUUAAGCUGGCACCCUCGACCAUCAAGCAAUUCUCCUAAUGUGGCUAUUCUCUCACACUAAACUCCACGAAUGAUCACCAAGCAGAACAUCUAGCCAUGGCAUCGUGAAGAACCAGAUGGUGGCCAACUCCCCCAUAGCAGCAUCUGGAGUCUUUACACCUCAGAAUAUUGUGAAGAACCACAGUGCUCACCUACCCAAUAAUAACUUCCAGAGACUUAAUAGCUCAGAAGAUUGAGCAACCAUUUGAGGACUAGCAGUCCACACAGAAGAAACAUUCUUGAAAAGAGUGAUCAAAGAAUUUCUAUCAAAACAGUUGAUCAAAAGGAAGGAAUGUGAAAGUUCUAAAUUUUGGGAUGCUUGUUGGUGAAGAAUGCUAGCCCAGACUUGAGAUCAAUAACUUACUGCUUUUGUUAACUUGCAGUCUUUGUACAGACCUAAUCAUGCACCCAAGGAAAUGUUUUUCUCUGUAGCUAAAUACAGAAUGACAAAAGUACAUCAUGCUAAGCCAGGAGAAGGAAGUAUUUCAAAACCCUUUGUGUAAGAUGUUCUCAAAAGAACUUUCCCCUAAGCAACUUAGUCUUUACCCUCUGUUCCCACAGAAUCCAUCAUGUAAUCACCUUGUGACUGCCUCGUGACCCCUUGGAAGUGCACAUAUUACCAGGUAGUAACUAAUCAAUAAAGCACACAUAUUUAUAUAUUCUGUAAACCAA